rnacentral:rRNA from 1 species
GAUGAACGCUGGCGGCGUGCCUAAUACAUGCAAGUCGAGCGAACGGACGAGAAGCUUGCUUCUCUGAUGUUAGCGGCGGACGGGUGAGUAACACGUGGAUAACCUACCUAUAAGACUGGGAUAACUUCGGGAAACCGGAGCUAAUACCGGAUAAUAUUUUGAACCGCAUGGUUCAAAAGUGAAAGACGGUCUUGCUGUCACUUAUAGAUGGAUCCGCGCUGCAUUAGCUAGUUGGUAAGGUAACGGCUUACCAAGGCAACGAUGCAUAGCCGACCUGAGAGGGUGAUCGGCCACACUGGAACUGAGACACGGUCCAGACUCCUACGGGAGGCAGCAGUAGGGAAUCUUCCGCAAUGGGCGAAAGCCUGACGGAGCAACGCCGCGUGAGUGAUGAAGGUCUUCGGAUCGUAAAACUCUGUUAUUAGGGAAGAACAUAUGUGUAAGUAACUGUGCACAUCUUGACGGUACCUAAUCAGAAAACCACGGCUAACUACGUG